CCUACGGGAGGCAGCAGUGAGGAAUAUUGGUCAAUGGACGAGAGUCUGAACCAGCCAAGUAGCGUGAAGGAUGACUGCCCUAUGGGUUGUAAACUUCUUUUAUAUGGGAACAAAACGUUCCACGCGUGGGCGUUUGUAUGUACCUUAUGAAUAAGGAUCGGCUAACUCCGUGCCAGCAGCCGCGGUAAUACGGAGGAUCCGAGCGUUAUCCGGAUUUAUUGGGUUUAAAGGGGGCGCAGGCGGUUUGUUAAGUCAGUUGUGAAAGUUUGGGGCUCAACCGUAAAAUUGCAGUUGAAACUGGCAGUCUUGAGUAGAGUAGAGGUGGGCGGAAUGCGUGGUGUAGCGGUGAAAUGCUUAGAUAUCGCGAAGAACUCCGAUUGCGAAGGCAGUUCGCUGGCCUGCAACUGACACUGAGGCUCGAAAGUGUGGGUAUCGAACAGGAUUAGAUACCCGUGUAGUC
rnacentral:rRNA from 1 species